rnacentral:rRNA from 1 species
UACGGAGGGUGCAAGCGUUAUCCGGAUUCACUGGGUUUAAAGGGUGCGUAGGCGGGUUGGUAAGUCCGUGGUGAAAUCCCCAAGCUUAACUUGGGAACUGCCGUGGAUACUAUCAAUCUUGAAUAUCGUGGAGGUAAGCGGAAUAUGUCAUGUAGCGGUGAAAUGCUUAGAUAUGACAUAGAACACCAAUUGCGUAGGCAGCUUACUACACGAUCAUUGACGCUGAGGCACGAAAGCGUGGGGAUCAAACAGG